AACCUCCGCAAUGUGAGAAAUCGCGACGGGGGGAUCCCAAGUGCCAUUCUUAACGGGAUGGCUUUUCAUUAGUGUAAAGAGCUUUUGGAAUAAGAGCUGGGCAAGACCGGUGCCAGCCGCCGCGGUAACACCGGCAGCUCUAGUGGUAACAAUUUUUAUUGGGCCUAAAGCGUCCGUAGCCGGUUUAAUAAGUCUCUGGUGAAAUCCUGUAGCUUAACUGUGGGAAUUGCUGGAGAUACUAUUAGACUUGAGACCGGGAGGGGUUAGAGGUACUCCCAGGGUAGAGGUGAAAUUCUGUAAUCCUGGGAGGACCGCCUGUUGCGAAGGCGUCUAACUGGAACGGUUCUGACGGUGAGGGACGAAAGUUAGGGGCGCGAACCGGAUUAGAUACCCGGGUAGUCCUAACUGUAAACGAUGCGGACUUGGUGUUGGGGUGGCUUUGAGCUGCUCCAGUGCCGAAGGGAAGCUGUUAAGUCCGCCGCCUGGGAAGUACGGUCGCAAGACUGAAACUUAAAGGAAUU
rnacentral:rRNA from 1 species